AGUAGGGAAUCUUCCGCAAUGGGCGAAAGCCUGACGGAGCAACGCCGCGUGAGUGAUGAAGGUCUUCGGAUCGUAAAGCUCUGUUGUU
rnacentral:rRNA from 1 species